rnacentral:lncRNA from 1 species
UAUGUGAGGACACCAAGAGGUGACCAUGAGCAAGCCCAGGAGAGAGGCCUCAGAAGAAACCAGACCUGCUGAUUCCUUGAUCUUGAACUUCUAGCCUCCGGAACUAUCCAACUUGAAUGCUUCCUGAUUAAAUAUAUACAGGAGUGAUUUCAGAGGAAUUUAAGUUUUGGAUCAUUCUUUUGAGAAAGAAAGAAAAGUACCCUUUUAAAAGAGGUGGCUCUUGAACAACACAGGUUUGAACUGCAUCAUUCCACUUAUACACAGACUUUCUUCUGCCACUGCCACUCCUGAGACAACAUGACCAAUCUCUCCCCUUCCUCCUCCUCAGCGUACUUUCAACAUAAAGACGACGAGGAUAAAGGCAUUUAUGAUGAACUACUUCCACAUAAUGAAUAAUUGAACAAAGGAGAGAAUUGUGAGAGUGAGAAAAAGUGAGACAAAGAAGAAAAACUAUAAAUCAGCAAAAUACAGUGCCAAGAGCUCUGGACCACAAAUCAGAAGACCUGAGCCCUAAUUCCUUUCCAGUCAUUGGAUUUGUUCGUCGCUUGCCAAAACAGCAGCGAACUCUCUGUCAAACUGCAACUCAUUUUAUCGGAGCAAAAACUGAACAAAGAACUGCUAUCAUUUCUGAGGUCAGAGGCAGUGCAGCUUGUGUUACAACUCAAAAGAGUAAUACUCUGAAAAAAGAAAAAAAAAGAUGGCGCUGAAAAUAAACAUGUUCAGCAGCCAUUGUGAUUCAACUUACCCAGAUGUGCUUUUCAUGAGAUGGAGAAGGACGGAUGGAAAAGAAAAGCACACAAAUGUUAAUGGAUACAGUUCAAUCCAAAGAAAACCAUGGAAUAAAACAAGAGCAUUAUUUAAGAUGUGAGAAAGCU